UUUAAAACAUGCCUGUUUCUGGGUACAGAUCRGUUUUAUGGCAACGCUGGGGGCGGCGGGUUCCCGCUCCCUUCCCCCCGCGCGAGGGGCCCGGCCGUGCUCCGAGCAGGAGGAGGAGCGCGAGCCCGGGGCCGGAUCCUGACCGCGGGGCUGGCAGCUGCGGCCGCGAGCCGGAGCGCGCGGGGACCACGGCGGGGCCGAGCCCGGCCCCGCGGGAAGAACACUUUGGGCGGAAGCAGAGCACCGGGGCUGGGAGCAUCCGCCGGGAACGGCGCGCUGGAGACCUCCCGGGCGCCCCAUCGCCUGAGCCAGGCGGCACAGGCCAGACUCGGGAGACAGCUCAUCCGACAGGGAACAGCUGAUCCCCAAGAGCAGCUUUUCCUCCCCCCACAGCAGCCGCUCCGUGACCCCGGAGCCGUCGGGAGGCCUUCGGGCGAGGGGAAGCUGGGGCCAAGGCAGAGCGGAGCCCUUGGGCGGCAGCAGCUUCCCCUCCCCUUCCCAAAGCGCCCGGGAAUCGCCACCCCCGAGGGCAGCUCCCCGCAGCGCCGGGCUCCAGGCCGGCAGGGAGACGCGGGGCAGGGGGGAGCCCCCGCGCCCUCGAAAUCCUGCCGCCCUCGGGAGCCCCAGAGCGGGACCYCGUGCCCGGCCGGCGGCAGGAGAGGGCAAGCCCUGCCCUCGCCUCCGGAAGGGCUGUGCAGAGCCGCAGCCCAGCCCUCCCGCCUGCUCCCAGCCCCGCGCCCAACGAGGGGCAGCUGCCSCCCAAAAGCCCCCCACGAGGGGGGCAAACGCGUGGGGCAGGAGCUCCCCAGCCGGGCAGGGGGAUCCCAGCCUCGUCCAUCUGCAGCCACCAUCCGCGCGAGCGCUCGGGCGUUGCCUGCCCGCUCUGCACAUAACCGCUGCCCGGCCGGGCAGGAGGCAGCCGGCAGAGCCAGCCUGACCGCCGAGGAGGGGGCUGCGCAAGGGCAAACCCCGUGCUGCGGCAGCCGCCGGGUCCGGCGGUGGGAUGYAACGCUCCCGGUGCCGCCACGAAGCCGUCGGAGCCUCGCGGGCAGAGCUCUUGGCGAGGUACGGCUGCCGUCUCGCAUUGCUGGUGGGGCCUGA
ensembl:lncRNA